AACUGGGUCUAAUACCGGAUAUGACCUCCUAUCGCAUGGUGGGUGGUGGAAAGCAUUUAUCGGUGCAGGAUGGGCACCGACGGCCUAGUCAGCUUGUUGGUGGGGUAAUGGCGCUSACCAAGGCGAACGCACGGGUAGCCGACCUGAGAGGGUGACCGGCCACACUGGGACUGAGACACGGCCCAGACUCCUACGGGAGGCAGCAGUGGGGAAUAUUGCACCAAUGGGCGAAAGCCURAUGCAGCGACGSCGCGUGAGGGAUGACGGCCUUCGGGUUGUAAACCUCUUUCAGCAGGGACGAAGCGCAAGUGACGGUACCUGCAGAAGAAGCACCGGC
rnacentral:rRNA from 1 species